AGUCAGUGGAGGAUUGUUUUAAGAAGGGAGCCCUAGAGCAAAAGAGGCUGAAAGCAGACAGGCUGGACUGAAUGGGUAUCUCUGCUCUGUUCCUCAGUGGCCAGCAGAGGAAAUUCUAGGGACCACAGGAUGAGAAAUAGGGAAGAGAAAAAAGAUGAUGGAGCUUGUGGAUUCAGAGGUUAGACGCACAGGUAUCCUAUCAAAUGAUGUGAUGGCAGAAGAGGCCCUGGUCAUCAGUUAAGGCAUUCAAUAAUUGGUGGGGUGAGGGGAGAAGAGGAGAUUGAACAUCAGCAUAAAGACAACAGGAAACCGCACCACCACACUCCUACCUAUGCAAAUGAUGGCCGUGGGAGCCCAGUGUAUGGACACGUGAAUCUGUGAAAGGGCUAUACCAAAAUCACAGGUGCAACGCAGAGGGCCACUGAGUCCAGAAUGUUGACAGCCUCACAGCCCAGAGUGGAGAAACCUGCUAGCUGCAGUCUGUCAGCUUUCCUGGUGAAAGCCUGGAGCGGGCUGAUGCCUGCUCCCUCUUGGCCAGUUCCCAGGCAUGUGGGUCGCCUAUACAAGUCUUAAUCAAGUCAUCAUAUCUAGCCAGUGUCUCCUGGAUCCCGUCACUUCUGAAUGAGAAAAAAAAUUGCGGACAAAUUUCUAUCAGCAGGAAGUUGGUGCUCUCCUGCGAGGCUGGAUGAAAAGCCCCUGUGACGUCAGCAGUCUCCUGCCUUCCCACGCCUGCUGCGAGCUUUGAAGCUGCGGGCUUCUCUGUUUAUGCCCCUAGCAGACCACCUGCCCCUCUGAGUCCCGUUCAGGCCCCACAACUGCUUGGGCUGCUCGGGAUGAGCCCAAAGCGUCCUAAUUAUGGACAUUGCUGGCUUGUUCUGGUCAAGUAAGAAGGGUCUGCCCCACAUCAAGAAACUCACCGGCACCAGCGAACCCUGGCCUCGCCAUUGUCCCCGCAGUAAGGAGCAUUUGAUUGAGGGCCAGGACAGUUUGCUGGAACUUAUAAAAGCCCUGUUUGAAGGAAGGGGCUGCCUGGCCUCCCUCUACACGACCGAUACUUUCCAAUUUGUAAUAAAGACUGUGAGAGAUAAACCA
rnacentral:lncRNA from 1 species